rnacentral:ncRNA from 1 species
UAAACAGGGUAGGUGGUGGUUUUCCAAAUUUUUUUUUUUCCACCCCCCGGUUUAAUUAAGGGGGCAUUUUCCCCCCCCUGGGCCCUUUUAUACCCCCCCAGCGAAUUGUAUAAGGGGUCUUUCAGGCCCGCCAAAGGCUUUACCAAAGCCUUGGGCCAUAAAUGGGGAACCGGUUGGAUUUUUGGAGAGCCAGCCGGGUUUAUGUCCUAUUUUUGGUUAAACCAUCGCGGGUUUAAGAGUCGAUUUAGUUUGAAGGCUCCAAUGCGGGUAGAGCAUCGCUCGACGUGGAGUUGCGUCAUACAACCGGGUUCCGUGACCCAGAUUACGGAAGAGGCUUAGAUAGUCCUCGUGCCAAACCAAGGUAGAAGUCACAACCAAACAGUCGUGUCUUUAAUUGGUACCUGCGGAAUUGUUCCAAGGGGGCGGUGAUUGACGCUUGAAUUAAUCCUAUACUAGGAACCGUGAGAUUAAGCCAUCGCGGCAGGUGCUCACGUUAAGCCCACUGACUUUCAUGUCCCUAUCUACUAUCUAGCGAAACCACAGCCAAGGGAACGGGCUUGGAAUAAUUAGCGGGGAAAGAAGACCCUUUUGAGCUUGACUCUAAUCUGGCAGUGUAAGGAGACAUAAGAGGUGUAGAAUAAGUGGGAGAUAUUAGACUUCGGUUUGGUAUCGACAAUGAAAUACCACUACUCUUAUUGUUUCCUUACUUACUUGAUUAAAUGGAACGUGUAUCAUUUCCUAGCCAUUAUACGGAUAUAAUUAUUAUGUCUUAUGGUAUUGGGUUUUGAUGCAAGCUUCUUGAUCAAAGUAUCACGAGUUUGUUAUAUAAUCGCAAACAAAUUCUUUAAUGAGAGAAUGCAUUUAUGUAUUAUUGAUUUAAAAAUUUGGUAUAACUCCAAUUACUCAGGUAUGAUCCAAUUCAAGGACAUUGCCAGGUAGGGAGUUUGACUGGGGCGGUACAUCUCUCAAAUAAUAACGGAGGUGUCCCAAGGCCAGCUCAGUGUGGACAGAAACCACACAUAGAGCAAAAGGGCAAAUGCUGACUUGAUCUCGGUGUUCAGUACACACAGGGACAGCAAAAGCUCGGCCUAUCGAUCCUUUUGGUUUAAAGAGU